rnacentral:tRNA from 1 species
GGAGAGAUGGCUCAGUGGUUAAGAGUACUGAUUGCUGCUCUUCCAGAGGUCCUGAGUUCAAUUCCCAGCAACCACA